GACGAACGCUGGCGGCGUGCUUAACACAUGCAAGUCGAACGAUGAAGCCCAGCUUGCUGGGUGGAAGAGUGGCGAACGGGUGAGUAACACGUGAGUAACCUGCCCUGAACUCUGGGAUAAGCACUGGAAACGGUGUCUAAUACUGGAUACGACCUAUCACCGCAUGGUGUGUGGGUGGAAAGAUUUAUCGGUUUUGGAUGGACUCGCGGCCUAUCAGCUAGAUGGUGAGGUAAUGGCUCACCAUGGCGACGACGGGUAGCCGGCCUGAGAGGGUGACCGGCCACACUGGGACUGAGACACGGCCCAGACUCCUACGGGAGGCAGCAGUGGGGAAUAUUGCACAAUGGGCGCAAGCCUGAUGCAGCAACGCCGCGUGAGGGAUGACGGCCUUCGGGUUGUAAACCUCUUUUAGUAGGGAAGAAGCGAAAGUGACGGUACCUGCAGAAAAAGCACCGGCUAACUACGUGCCAGCAGCCGCGGUAAUACGUAGGGUGCAAGCGUUGUCCGGAAUUAUUGGGCGUAAAGAGCUCGUAGGCGGCUUGUCGCGUCUGCUGUGAAAUCCCGGGGCCCAACCCCGGGUCUGCAGUGCGUACGGGCAAGCUAGAGUGCGGUAGGGGAGAUUGGAA
rnacentral:rRNA from 1 species